UUUUCCUUUCGUUCACCCAGAUAUUCUGCACGAUUACAGCUGCAGUCUUUGGCUGCAGGCAGUGACCCUGGGUGGUUUGCCUGAAGAGAAGAGAGACUCUUUCAGCUCUCCCCAUCUAUCUGGGUGACUUUGGUUAGGGUUUCUUUACCAUGUCAGAGGGACAGGGUGUAAAGCAGAGUUGAACAGAACAGAGGCCAGAGGAGCAGAGCAAGAAGGUGGGUCGUCACCUGACAUCAGCACAAAGAUGUGGCUUUUGGCUCCACGUUUACUCGCUGCGUUAAGGAUUUUCUUGUUUUGGUUUGGUUUUUCUUUGUUUUCAGAUGCAGAGCCCUCAGCACAGGAGGCUAUAGGCACCGGAGGGGAGGUGAUCCAGGUGAGUACCUGUGAGCAAGGGGUUCUGCCACCUUCUAACAGACAGUCCAAUGCUUCAGGGACCCUGUCGGUAAGAGAUCACUGUCGAGGAGAGAGAAUGUAUGCAGUCUCAGAGGGCUGGAGCCACCUGCCAAUUAGGUUUGAUGGUCUUCAGCUGUCCAUGUGAGUAAUCUCCUAGUACUAUGAGGGUCAUCAAUUAAGGCUCAACCUCUUCCAGUUGCUGGUGCCAUCCAGCCUGCCUUUGGCAAUGGAGGAGCAUUCAGGUUGAGUUGGGGAGGUAGCGAGGAGGUGCUGGGUGUUUCAGAAACACCACGUAACUUUUUUUACUAACUCACCCAGGUACAGUACAUGGUGAUAGCAGCAGCCUAUGACUCGAGUCGGAGCUAGUGACCCGAGAACCUCACAGCUUA